rnacentral:rRNA from 1 species
AUGAACGCUGGCGGCGUGCUUAACACAUGCCAGUCGAACGGAACUACUCCAAUGAGAGUCUUCGGAAAGGAUUUGGUUUAUUUUAGUGGCGGACGGGUGAGUAACGCGUGGGUAACCUGCCCUAUACAGGGGGAUAACAGUUGGAAACGACUGUUAAUACCGCAUAAGCGCACAGGAGCGCAUGCUCCGGUGUGAAAAACUCCGGUGGUAUAGGAUGGACCCGCGUCUGAUUAGCUGGUUGGCGGGGUAACGGCCCACCAAGGCGACGAUCAGUAGCCGGCCUGAGAGGGUGAACGGCCACAUUGGGACUGAGACACGGCCCAAACUCCUACGGGAGGCAGCAGUGGGGAAUAUUGCACAAUGGGGGAAACCCUGAUGCAGCGACGCCGCGUGAGCGAAGAAGUAUCUCGGUAUGUAAAGCUCUAUCAGCAGGGAAGAAAAUGACGGUACCUGACGAAGAAGCCCCGGCUAACUACGUG